rnacentral:rRNA from 1 species
AUUAAACGCUGGCGGCAGGCCUAACACAUGCAAGUCGAACGGUAGCACAGAGAGCUUGCUCUCGGGUGACGAGUGGCGGACGGGUGAGUAAUGUCUGGGAAACUGCCCGAUGGAGGGGGAUAACUACUGGAAACGGUAGCUAAUACCGCAUAACGUCGCAAGACCAAAGUGGGGGACCUUCGGGCCUCACACCAUCGGAUGUGCCCAGAUGGGAUUAGCUAGUAGGUGGGGUAAUGGCUCACCUAGGCGACGAUCCCUAGCUGGUCUGAGAGGAUGACCAGCCACACUGGAACUGAGACACGGUCCAGACUCCUACGGGAGGCAGCAGUGGGGAAUAUUGCACAACGGGCGCAAGCCUGAUGCAGCCAUGCCGCGUGUAUGAAGAAGGCCUUCGGGUUGUAAAGUACUUUCAGCGGGGAGGAAGGCGGUGGAGUUAAUAACUUCACCGAUUGACGUUACCCGCAGAAGAAGCACCGGCUAACUCCGUGCCAGCCGCCGCGGUAA